rnacentral:rRNA from 1 species
AUUCCAGCUCCAAUAGCGUAUAUUAAAGUUGUUGCAGUUAAAACGCUCGUAGUCGGAUUUCGGGGCGGGCCGACCGGUCUGCCGAUGGGUAUGCACUGGCCGGCGCGUCCUUCCACCCGGAGACCGCGCCUACUCUUAACUGAGCGGGCGCGGGAGACGGGUCUUUUACUUUGAAAAAAUCAGAGUGUUUCAAGCAGGCAGUCGCUCUUGCAUGGAUUAGCAUGGGAUAAUGAAAUAGGACUCUGGUGCUAUUUUGUUGGUUUCGAACACCGGAGUAAUGAUUGAUAGGGAUAGUUGGGGGUGCUAGUAUUGAGCGGCCAGAGGUGAAAUUCUUGGAUUCGCUCAAGACUAACUUGUGCGAAAGCAUUCACCAAGGAUGUCUUCAUCG